rnacentral:precursor_RNA from 1 species
AUAUUGUCCUGUCACAGCAGUACUGAUCACAAGAGCCUACUGCUGUUUCGGGACAUA